rnacentral:lncRNA from 1 species
GAUUAGUAAAUUUCAAUAAAAAAUGGUCAGUUUGUAACAACACUUUUAAUUUUGUUACUGCUUGUCCCAAGGUGCUGUCCAAUAUGCUGCAGGCACUGUGUAUUUUAAUGUGUUCCCUCACUUUUUGUAUAAAAAAACAUUGAUAAGGUUUCAUAAGCUGCAGUGAUUCUCCAGCAGCAGAAACAAGUGCGUCUCAAAUUUUCCAAGAUAACUAUCUCAAUUGGUAAGGAAAAACAGAGCAUUUUUUAAUGCUUUUACAGUAAUAGGUUUGUGAAUAUAAGCAAAUAUCACAACCGUUUUAUGAAAGUGGUGAAAGAAUGAAAGGAGGCAGCUGUGUCCAUAUGGUUGAAAUAAGUGCACCACCAGUGGAAUACUUAUUUUAAAGCGUCCAUAUUUUGAUGUGAUCAACGACAUGUUAGGGCACACUAAUCCAAUUACAACACUGCAUGAAAAUGGGAAUAUUUGCAGAAUGUCCUUUUUCAUUUGUCAUGUAAACAGCUUAGUCAGAGUGUGCAUGUGAACACGGUUACUGUAGAGAAAGGAUUUGCUGCUAAGCAGUUAACAGUUACUCAGAUAAAAAAUAAAUGAAUUUAUGGUUUAACUUAAAUGUUAUAAAGUCAGAAAAUAACAGCCUUUACUUUGUUGUGAGCCAAGAGAUCCUAGAUUAAGAUAGUGAUUGCAAGUGAAUAGGCCAAAACAGCUAAGAAAGUUGAACUAGUUGAAUGUUGUACAGCUGUGUGAUAACUCAAAAGGAAAGAAUAUACAAACGGGACAUAUAGAGUAUUUAAUUGAUUAAUUUAAGCCACUCAAAUAUUAAAUACCUAAAUUACAUUUACAAAAAUGUUGUCAGAUAUUUUAAAUCAUUUAGUGUGGUAUAUCUGAUAUAAAAAAGAUCAGAGGACAUACUUUAGCAUUGCGGUUUAUACUGCAAAGUUUGUAUUUGUAAAAUAUUUAAUAUUAGGGUUGAUAGGUUGGGUCAGUCAUCAACCCAAAGUGACAGUAUUUGACGAGUUGGAAAUAAUGGUGUCAGUACUGGAUAAGUUGGGAGUGAGACUCAAAAAUCAUCUAUCCCACAAAUAUGGCAAAACUGACAUUACUAUUUUUUACACAGACCAUAAAGCAGAACUCAAUUGAAGGAAUGUCUGCC